rnacentral:rRNA from 1 species
CCUACGGGAGGCAGCAGUGGGGAAUAUUGGGCAAUGGGCGCAAGCCUGACCCAGCAACGCCGCGUGAAGGAAGAAGGCUCGCGGGUUGUAAACUUCUUUUAGCAGGGACGAAGCAAGUGACGGUACCGGAUGAAUAAGCCACGGCUAACUACGUGCCAGCAGCCGCGGUAAUACGUAGGUGGCAAGCGUUAUCCGGAUUUACUGGGUGUAAAGGGCGUGUAGGCGGGAACGCAAGUCAGAUGUGAAAACCCUGGGCUCAACCUGUGGCCUGCAUUUGAAACGGUUUUUCUUGAGUACUGGAGAGGCAGCCUGCAUUCCUAGUGUAGCGGUGAAAUGCGUAGUUAUUAGGAGGAACACCAGUGGCGAAGGCGGUCUGCUGGACAGCAACUGACGCUGAGGCGCGAAAGCGUGGGGAGCAAACAGGAUUAGAUACCCUGGUAGUC